rnacentral:rRNA from 1 species
GACGAACGCUGGCGGCGUGCCUAAUACAUGCAAGUAGAACGCAGUUGCGAACGGGUGAGUAACGCGUCGGUAACUGCCUAUUAGAGGGGGAUAACUAUUGGAAACGAUAGCUAAUAACGCAUACUAGUAGCUGGACCUGCGUUGUAUUAGCUAGUAGGUAGGGUAAUGGCCUCCCUAGGCGACGAUACAUAGCCGGCCUGAGAGGGGGAUCGGCCAACCUGGGAAUGGGACACGGGCCAGACUCCUACGGGAGGGAGCAGGAGGGGAAUUUCGGCAAUGGGGGGAACCCUGACCGAGCAACGGCGCGGGAUGGAAGAAGGGUUUCGGGUCGUAAAGCUAUGUUGUUAAGGAAGCGGUACUUAACCAGAAAGGGACGGCUAACUACGUGCCAGCAGCCGCGGUAAUAC